rnacentral:rRNA from 1 species
CCCAGAAACUUCCCCAAGAUUGCACCUUCAUCUCCUAUAGGCUGGCUAUCUUCAUUGCAUUUCACAACUAUUCUCUGCCCCUUUGGCAUGUUCCGUAUAGAGAUAACAUUAUGCCGUAUGGAGAUGAUAUUUCCGCCCGGAUUUUUUACUGUUAUGGUGCAUUUGGUUCUUCAUCUAGCAACAGAGGCAAAAAUAGGUGGCCCUGUGGCCUACCGUUCAAUGUGGUUUCUGGAAAGGUAUCUCUGUGUCCUGAAGUCAUAUGUGCGUAAUAGAGCACAUCCAGAAGGAUCUAUCGCUGAAGCACAUCUUGCAGACGAGUGCAUGACGUUUUGUUCAAGAUAUAUUGAUGGUUUCGCCACCAAGCAUAAUCGGCCUUCAAGGAAUGACGAUGACGAUGAGGCGGUUGAUGUUGAACAAGGAUCAACUCUGUUUCCUUCGGUAGGAAAACCACUUGGAAAGCCUGGCAAUUAUGUUCUUAGAGGG